UAUCAGCUGUUAUUACCUGAGAGUAGAACUUGUAGUAUUGACAGAGUUUUAGUUAAUUAAUAUUUGUUAUUUAUUAGUUAAUGUUUAUCAAUUGAAACACGAAUAAAUGAAUUUGGAAUAUGAUGUGAAUAAGUUCAGGUUGUUAGCCUGCCUCGAUUCAUUUGACAUGUUUUUAACAAUUGAUGUUUGAUAAUUGAGCACCUGAAGAAGUCGGGAAACCGAUGAAACGUUGUGAAAAUUUAACAUAAACAUCGAAUAAAUAUUUCCAAUAAACUGUGAA